rnacentral:lncRNA from 1 species
ACUACUCUGGUUAUACGACCCUUUGCUUCUCUUUACUUCUCACUUCUGUUAGUACACAACAACUGACUUGAAUCUUUCAUCUGACUACGGAUCUUCCUUUCUCUUUGAUGCUUCUCGGCUUUAUACCUCUACGGACAUGCUAGAUGACUUGGCUAUCACGUUCUCUCUCUCUACUUACUUUCGAUGUUAUAUUGUGACACAUCACAAUGAAAC